rnacentral:rRNA from 1 species
AGAGUUUGAUCCUGGCUCAGAACGAACGCUGGCGGCAGGCCUAACACAUGCAAGUCGAACGAGAUCUUCGGAUCUAGUGGCGGACGGGUUAGUAACGCGUGGGAACGUGCCUCUCUCUACGGAACAGUCCUGGGAAACUGGGUUUAAUACCGUAUACGCCCUUCGGGGGAAAGAUUUAUCGGAGAGAGAUCGGCCCGCGUUGGAUUAGGUAGUUGGUGGGGUAAUGGCCUACCAAGCCGACGAUCCAUAGCUGGUUUGAGAGGAUGAUCAGCAACACUGGGACUGAGACACGGCCCAGACUCCUACGGGAGGCAGCAGUGGGGAAUCUUAGACAAUGGGGGCAACCCUGAUCUAGCCAUGCCGCGUGAGUGACGAAGGCCUUAGGGUCGUAAAGCUCUUUCGCUGGGGAAGAUAAUGACGNACCCAGAAAGAACCCCGC